UACGGAGGGGGCUAGCGUUGCUCGGAAUCACUGGGCGUAAAGCGCACGUAGGCGGCUUUCUAAGUCAGGGGUGAAAUCCUGGAGCUCAACUCCAGAACUGCCUUUGAUACUGGGGUGCUCGAGUCCGGAAGAGGUGAGUGGAACUCCGAGUGUAGAGGUGAAAUUCGUAGAUAUUCGGAAGAACACCAGUGGCGAAGGCGGCUCACUGGUCCGGUACUGACGCUGAGGUGCGAAAGCGUGGGGAGCAAACAGG
rnacentral:rRNA from 1 species